UACGGAGGGGGCUAGCGUUGUUCGGAAUUACUGGGCGUAAAGCGCACGUAGGCGGCUUUGCAAGUUAGAGGGGAAAGCCCGGGGCUCAACUCCGGAAUUGCCUUUAAGACUGCAUCGCUAGAAUUGUGGGGAGGUAAGUGGAAUUCCGAGUGUAGAGGUGAAAUUCGUAGAUAUUCGGAAGAACACCAGUGGCGAAGGCGACUUACUGGACACAUAUUGACGCUGAGGUGCGAAAGCGUGGGGAGCAAACAGG
rnacentral:rRNA from 1 species